UUUAAAUGUUUAACUUAGUGGUAGCACUCUAUAGAGUCAUCCCAGAAUUAUAAUGAAUACUUUUCCGCAAUCAUAUUUAAAUUUAAUGCUUUCCUAUAAUAGAGAUGGUUUGUCUUUUUUUGUGUGUGUGGGUGGCGCUGUGGAUGAAAUCCAGGGCCUUGUGCAUGCAAGGCAAGGACUCUACCAACUGAGCUACAUCCCCAACCUGUUGCCUUAUUAUGCCGACACGUAUUAGCACCUUGAAACCUUUGAUUAAAGCAAAUUAAAACUCCUUUACUAUGGUCAUCCGUAACACAGUCAACAAGAGAUACCCAAGAUGAGUCCCUGUGGAAAACUCUUAAUAAUCUAGACUAUAAUUUUGUAUUUUUUAAUAGAUAAGUCCAUCUCAUUUGAAAAUUGGUGGGGAUGUAGCUUAGUGGUAGAACACUUGCUAACAAUUGCAAGGUCCUAUCUUUGAUCCGUAGCAGCAUACACAACAAGAAAAUUACCUAGGUGCAGUGGCGCAUAUCUGUAGUAUCAGUGACUCUGGAGGAGGAUCACAAGUUGGAGGCCAAUCUAGGCAAUUUAGCAAGACCCUACCUCAAAAUAAACAGGGCUAAGGACGUAGUUCAGUAGUAGAGUGUUCCCGGGUUCAAUCCCAAGUACCAUCAAAAGAAAGAAAAUUGUCUUAACCUUUCAGUUUGGCUUCUCAUAAUCUUCACUUGUUAAUUAUGCUUUCCUUAAGCUGCUUCCUCAGAGAUCUCAAAAUUCCACAUAAUCAUCAAAUUUGGUUACUCUUGGCCCUUAACUAUCUGACUUGUUUCAGCUUUUGCUGCUGCUGAUUGUUCAUUUCUUCCUGAAUCUUUCAUCUAUCUUAACCUCUAUGAUAUUGCACUACCUUAACCCUAUUGUUUUCUCCGGGCUAUUCCUUUUAAUUCCUCUGAUGGCUUCUUUUUCUCUAACCCCUUGUGUGUAAUUUAGAUUUUGUCAUCCCUUUUAUAUUCUCUCCUCUAAUGCUUUCAUCUGCUUUAAUAAUUAUGUAACUAAUUCCCAAAUUCAGUUAAAUUCAUCGAAUAUUUUUUGAGCACCUACUUCAUGCCAUAUACUCUGCUUAUCAUCAGGGGAAAAAAAUAAAGAAAUGAUACAGGUUUUGCCCUCAAGUACUUUAUAAUCAUUUUGGCUGAGCACAUCUUUAACCUGUUUGAGUUUUAGAUUAUAUAAUUUCUGUCUUCUUCCUGAACUUCAGUGCAACAAUAUCCUUAAGCACUUUAAACUCUAUGUGAAUAAAUAAUCUUCUCCCAUCUUCAAAAUCUAAUUCAAAAACUUGUUUCUUGUCCUCUGAAUUCCAGCCCAAACUACAUACAUUUCUAUGUAGUUAUGCCAUUUUCUGUUUUUGUUGUUAUCGUUUUAUGGUGUGGAGAAUCAAGCCCAAGGCUUUGGGCAUGCUAGACCUAAAGUACUCUACCACUGAAUUGUAUCUCUAGUCCCCUGCCACUUAUUUUUUUG
rnacentral:lncRNA from 1 species